rnacentral:tRNA from 1 species
GCGGCGGUGGUGAAAUUGGUAGACACGCUAGGUUGAGGGCCUAGUGGGCGUUAAGCUCGUGCUGGUUCAAGUCCAGUUCGCCGCA